rnacentral:rRNA from 1 species
UACGUAGGGUGCAAGCGUUAAUCGGAAUUACUGGGCGUAAAGCGUGCGCAGGCGGUUUUGUAAGUCUGACGUGAAAUCCCCGGGCUCAACCUGGGAAUUGCGAUGGAGACUGCAAGGCUUGAAUCUGGCAGAGGGGGGUAGAAUUCCACGUGUAGCAGUGAAAUGCGUAGAGAUGUGGAGGAACACCGAUGGCGAAGGCAGCCCCCUAGGUCAAGAUUGACGCUCAUGCACGAAAGCGUGGGGAGCAAACAGG